rnacentral:rRNA from 1 species
CCCUUAGAUGUUCUGGGCCGCACGCGCGCUACACUGAUGCAUUCGACGAGUCUAAAACCUGCUCUGAUAGGGGUGGGUAAUCUUUUGAAUGUGCAUCGUGAUUGGGAUAGAUGAUUGAAAUUUUUCAUCUUCAACGAGGAAUGCCUAGUAAACGCAAGUCAUCAGCUUGCAUUGAUUACGUCCCUGCCCUUUGUACACACCGCCCGUCGCUCCUACCGAUUGAAUGAUCCGAUGAAUAUCAUGGAUUGAGGAUGCAAGUAGGUUCACCUAUCUUCAUCUUCGAGAAGUGAAGUAAAUCUUAUCAUUUAGAGGAAGGAGAAGUCGUAACA